rnacentral:lncRNA from 1 species
CUCAAGCUCCGCCAUGAAGUCAGCCUUCCUCCGGGUGUAUUCCAUGAAACCCUUUUUGUGGAGGUCCCGAAAGCGAGUAGCCUCCGCUGUGACUUCCGAAUGGCUCUUCCUCAGCCGGUGAAGUUCGUCAUCCAGCUUCUUGGAUUUCUCUGUCAAGUGACGAACUUCCCUUCUGAGGUCUCGGAUCAUCGACUUCAGAGGAAUCCCCUGUGGUAAGGGAAGAGCUUCGGCAGGGCACUGUCUUUGGG